UAUAUAUGGUUCUUUGCUUAUAUAUUGCUCAACCAUGACAUUCUUCAUGACAACUUCAAAGUUAUUGCAACAUUUGUGUUGCCUUAAAAUGUUGACCCUUUGUUCUUUUGCAAACAUUUUGCAAACAUUUGUUUCUAGAAUGGUUCUAGACCAUUCUAAUUUCAAAAGAUUGCAGGUGGUUUUACCUAGUCUCUUCUCCUUGCUGGACCCCAGUCUCAUGACAGAAAGGCAGUGUUAUCUGCUUAGAAGUGCUUCCUCUAAGUGGGCCUCUCUAGGCACAUAGCAGAGGAUUCAGGACCUUGUGCUUGGAGGCUCAUUUUAAAGCUUUACUUUUAGGUCUGGAAUUUAUUGGAAAGUACUUUUGUGGUAUUUUUAUAACAACAUCUUCUUUGAAGAUGUUUCUUCAUUGUGGGAUGUUAGUUCUUUUCUGAUAUUUCUCUUCAGAAUUUGGUUUCAGUACUGGCAUUCAUUCUGGAUGCCACAUGGAGAUACUUAGAACCAAGAAAGUUUUCAUACACCCCACCACGGAGGCUGUGGAAGGUUUUUGCUGAGGUUAUCCCGUGUCAGUGUCUUUCCACCACACUUGCUUGCUUUGUAGCUGAACUUAUGGUGCCUUCAGCUCCAAGUGUCCAGUCUGAGGGUCCUUUUCUGCCCUCUCAGGCAUUGUAUCUUUUGAGAACGUACUGUCUGUUUUUUGCUUUUCUUGCUGAGAGUGUGUGAAGAAAAUGAGAUAAUAAUCCCUUCCUACCCUUCAGUGUGGCUGAUAGAAACACAUGGAUUUCAGUUCAUUUGGCACAGUGUGCUCCUGGAUGUUACUGCGUAACACAUAGGGGUUAUCUCCUCUGGACCCUGAACCUGGACCUUCUGGAGCCUUUGUUGCACAAUUGAGAGCUUACUGAGAUCUUUUCCUGGAUUUAGGACUAUAUAAAAAACUUGAUGAAGCCAGAUGUGGUGACACAGAUUUGGGAGCAUGAGGCAGGAGAUCCAGGAUGCUCCACAGUGAGUUGUAGACCAGGCUAGGCUGCAUGGUAAAAUCCUGCCUCAGAAAACAAAAGACCUCUAGGCUGGGUAUGAUGUAUUCUUAAAGGAGAGUGUCAAAGAAUUUAAAAAGUGGGAAAAGAGACUAAAACCAAACAAAAAAAAAGAAAAAUUAUCAAGGAAUGAUUAAAUUCAAACAAUAAUCAUUAUUUUUGAAGUCUAAUUUAGUGCUUAUUUAGUUUUCAAUGUACUUUUUACCCCCAAAUUCUGUUUACAGAAAUGUAUCUUACUGAGUGAAGUAUUCAAAGGUUUAUGAGCCAAGAUUUUCAUUGCUGUUUUACUGUAAAAACUGCUGAGUCUAUCAGUAAUGGAAUGGUUUAAUAACUAUGGUCUACCCAUCCCUAUGAUGAUGUUACCUACAGCUAUGCAAAAAAGUGACUGUAUCCAUAUUGUCUGUCCUAGAGAGGAGACCAUCAAAUACUGUUAAGUGAAAGAAGAAACUGCAGAUCAUGUGACUAUGAUUGUAUUUUUGUGAAGUCAAUAAUCCAGAGCCAUAUAAAUACACCUAAACAUAUGUAAAACAUGCACAUAUCUGCACAUUAAAAGUAUGCAUAUAUAGAAAAUAGAAGGAAGUAAAUCAUCCUGGUCACAUACAUGAUUAAAGUGGGAGGAAAUUGGCUCAGGGUAGUAAUAAAGAGGCAGGGAAGCAAUAGUCAACUAUUCACUUAGCAUACCAUUCCAUUGCUAAAAGUCUUUAAAAUAACUUCAAGAAAUCAUAAAUACAAAUGUCAGAAGAUAGAUAUACUCAUUUUUUUCUCUGACCUGAUCAUAACCUGCAGAAAAUUAUUAAACAUUUCAGUGGUCACAAGAGCCAGGGUUACACCAAGUUAUCCUUUUAUGGCUCCAUCUUGCCUUUGGUUUGGCCCUUGUUGCUUUCUGGGCUGAGCUACAGAAUAGACCUUGCUCUGCAGAAAGCUUCUGUUAAAGUCUAACCAUGUGCUCUGAGAAAGAACCCAAAAGUAGAGGGCCUUUGUAGAUGUCUCUGCAUUAAAGUAGUGACGGGUUUUAAACCCCUUUAGCUUUCCAGUAUUUUCACUCUCAUCUCCUGUCCCCAAGAUUAUGUUUCUAAAAUUCAGAUCAGAUUAAAUUAUUCUUUUACAUUUAAAUUUUAAAUGGCUCCUUGAUAUCUAAAACAGUAAUCUGUUAACAUUGGUAAACAUGCAUUCCCACUAAUGCAUGUCUUUUUAAAAUUAUAAAAAAUAUAAUACAUUAUGAAUCAGUUAUUUAUAUUACAAACCUAAACAAAAGAAGAAAAAUAAAAAUGAAAUAAAUUUCAAAUAUUUUGAUAUUUCUUCUGAAAGGUAUUAAAAACCCUGUCUCUUUAUAUUAAUAGUUUUACUUUUGGUGAAAGCAGUUCAACUGGGUACUAUCGUUGUUUUAAAACUUUGCUUUAAUAACUUGUAGCAUAGAAAUUUAAAUAUCUGAUUGUAAGUCUUAUAUGCUUUAUUUAUUUAGACAGGGUCUCCAUAUAUAUCCCUGGCUGGCCUGGAACAUGUUAUGUUCUACAAGAAACUCACAGAAAUGAGUUUGUCUGUCUCCCAAGUGUUGAAACUAAACACAUGUGCCACCAUGGCUGAUCUAGUCCUGGCUAUGUUGGUACUUGAUUUUAAUGAUCAUCAUAGAUAGAUAGAUAGAUAGAUAGAUAGAUAGAUAGAUAGAUAGAUAGAUAGAGGCUGACCUAGUCCUAUCUAUUUUAACUUGAUUUUAAUGAUCAUCAUAUAUACAUGCAUAAUGCAUACAUAUAUACAUACAUACAGUGAUAUAGGCUGGUACUCUAUACCCUUGUUCCUAUUUUAAAAAUAAAUAAGAGAACUUUUUAAAGACGUGAGAUGAGUUUACUAAAGCAUAAUACUCAUAUUUUAGGUUCUAUUCAACUAGUGUAUCCAAAUUUAUUUGAGGAUGACUCUAGCUGAGAUUCCUAGCAGUGGUGGAUAUGGAGCCUGAAAUGGUCACCUCUUGUAGCUAGGCAGGACUCCCCAGUAGAAGGAUAAGGUUAUCAACUCACCCACAAAACCUUCAACCCAAAAUUAGUCCUGUCUACAAGAAGUGCAGGAACAGAGACUGAGGGAACAGACAACCAAUGACUGGGCCAACAUGAGAUUCGUCCCAGGAGCAAGCACCAGCCCCUGACAUUCUUACUGGUACUCUGUUAUGCUCAUAGACAGGAGAAACAGAGUCUCACUUUGUAACUUAGGCUGCCUUAAACUGCAGUCUUCUUGCAUCUGCCUUCCAAAUGCUAGGGUUAUAGGCAUGCACCAUCACAACUCAGUGUUAGCCAUUUUUAAAAAGGUUUAUAAUCCACAGAAAACUCUUUCAGUGACAUCAUAAAACUAGUUGUAAAGUUCUGGUAUGUAGUUUGGGUGUACAUGUGAGCAAUUUAGUAGUUUGUACAUAGACACAAUUUUUUACUCAAAAUAAUAUGAUAGGAGAAGCAUUUCAGCACAUCUGCUAAAAAGAUCUGGAUGCUCGAGGCUUUUGGUUUGACCCUAGCACUGG
rnacentral:lncRNA from 1 species